UACGUAGGCAGCAAGCGUUGUUCGGAGUUACUGGGCGUAAAGGGCGCGUAGGCGGCGACCCAAGUCAGAUGUGAAAGUCCUGGGCUUAACCUGGGGACUGCAUUUGAUACUGGGUUGCUUGAAUUCGGGAGAGGAUAGCGGAAUUCCCAGUGUAGAGGUGAAAUUCGUAGAUAUUGGGAAGAACACCGGUGGCGAAGGCGGCUAUCUGGACCGACAUUGACGCUGAGGCGCGAAAGCGUGGGGAGCAAACAGG
rnacentral:rRNA from 1 species